rnacentral:rRNA from 1 species
UUGGAGGGCAAGUCUGGUGCCAGCAGCCGCGGUAAUUCCAGCUCCAAUAGCGUAUAUUAAAGUUGUUGCAGUUAAAAAGCUCGUAGUUGAAUUUCGGGAUCAAAUUGUCGGUCGUGCCUCGGUACGCACUGGUAUUAUUGGUUCCUACCUUCUGAAGAACCGCGAUGUCAUUAAUUUGGUGUCGUGGGGAAUCAGGACUGUUACUUUGAAAAAAUUAGAGUGUUUAAAGCAGGCUUACGCUUGAAUACAUUAGCAUGGAAUAAUGAAAUAGGACGUUUGAUUCUAUUUUGUUGGUUUCUAGGAUUGACGUAACGAUUAAUAGGGAUAGUUGGGGGCAUUAGUAUUCAAUUGUCAGAGGUGAAAUUCUUGGAUUUAUUGAAGACUAACUACUGCGAAAGCAUUUGCCAAGGAUGUUUUCAUUAAUCAAGAACGAAAGUUAGGGGAUCGAAGACGAUCAGAUACCGUCGUAGUCUUAACCAUAAACUAUGCCGACUAGGGAUCGGAUGAUGUUAAUUUUUUAAUGACUCAUUCGGCGCCUUACGGGAAAC